rnacentral:rRNA from 1 species
AUUGAACGCUGGCGGCAGGCCUAACACAUGCAAGUCGAACGAGUGGCGGACGGGUGAGUAAUGUCUGGGAAACUGCCUGAUGGAGGGGGAUAACUACUGGAAACGGUAGCUAAUACCGCAUACCAUCAGAUGUGCCCAGAUGGGAUUAGCUUGUUGGUGGGGUAACGGCUCACCAAGGCGACGAUCCCUAGCUGGUCUGAGAGGAUGACCGGCACCACUGGAACUGAGACACGUCCCAAACUCCGACGUGAGGCAGCAGUGGGGAAUAUGCAACAUGGGGCUCAAGCCGGAUGCAGCCAUGCCGCGUGUAUGAAGAAGGCCGUCGGGUGGUAAAUGACUUUCAGCGGGGAGGCGUUACCCGAAGAAGAAGCACCGGCUAACUCCGUGCCAGCAGCCGCGGUAAUAC